rnacentral:lncRNA from 1 species
UGGCUCGGCGUAGGACCGCAGCGGGCGGCAGGCUUGUAGAGGCUGCCAUCGUCGUAAAAUCUUGCUGAACUCGUCCAAACGGUCCAAAAGCAGAAUUCACGGUGGGCAUGAUUACAACUCAUUGUCUGCAGUAAGACUGGUAGCUUGUCAAUACACCCUGAUGGCGUCUCGGAGAACUCUAAGGGAGCGGCGAAACGUCAAUUACAAUGAGGACAUGCUCGAGAAACAGCGCGGCGCCUCUAAAGCCAUGGAAAAGGAUUUGGAAUCUGAAGACAA